rnacentral:ncRNA from 2 species
CUCUUAUCAAGAGAGGUGGAGGGAAAAUGGCCCUGUGAAACCCGGCAACCGAUGUGUAAUAACAUUAAGGUGCCAAUUCCUGCAAAAUUAAAUUUUGCAAGAUAAGAG